CCUACGGGAGGCAGCAGUAGGGGAUAUUGCUCAAUGGGGGAAACCCUGAAGCAGCAACGCCGCGUGGAGGAUGAAGGUUUUCGGAUUGUAAACUCCUUUUGUUAGAGAAGAUAAUGACGGUAUCUAACGAAUAAGCACCGGCUAACUCCGUGCCAGCAGCCGCGGUAAUACGGAGGGUGCAAGCGUUACUCGGAAUCACUGGGCGUAAAGAGCGCGUAGGCGGGAUAGCAAGUCAGAUGUGAAAUCCUAUGGCUUAACCAUAGAACUGCAUUUGAAACUGUUAUGCUAGAGUAUGGGAGAGGUAGGUGGAAUUCUUGGUGUAGGGGUAAAAUGCGUAGAGAUCAAGAGGAAUACUCAUUGCGAAGGCGACCUGCUAGAACAUAACUGACGCUGAGGCGCGAAAGCGUGGGGAGCAAACAGGAUUAGAUACCCCGGUAGUC
rnacentral:rRNA from 1 species